rnacentral:ncRNA from 1 species
ACAAUGGAGAGUUUGAUCCUGGCUCAGGAUGAACGCUAGCGGCAGGCUUAAUACAUGCAAGUCGAGGGGCAGCAUGGUGUAGCAAUACACUGAUGGCGACCGGCAAACGGGUGCGGAACACGUACAGAACCUUCCUUCGAGCGGGGAAUAGCCCAGAGAAAUUUGGAUUAAUACCCCAUAGUAUAACGGAGUGGCAUCACUUUGUUAUUAAAGAUUUAUCACUUGAAGAUGGCUGUGCGGCUGAUUAGGUAGUUGGCGGGGUAACGGCCCACCAAGCCUGCGAUCAGUAACUGGUGUGAGAGCACGACCAGUCACACGGGCACUGAGACACGGGCCCGACUCCUACG